rnacentral:rRNA from 2 species
GGAGGUCAGCGGCGGACGGGUGAGUAACACGUGGGCAACCUGCCUGUAAGACUGGGAUAACUCCGGGAAACCGGAGCUAAUACCGGAUACUAUGUCAAACCGCAUGGUUUGACAUUCAAAGACGGUUUCGGCUGUCACUUACAGAUGGGCCCGCGGCGCAUUAGCUAGUUGGUGAGGUAAUGGCUCACCAAGGCGACGAUGCGUAGCCGACCUGAGAGGGUGAUCGGCCACACUGGGACUGAGACACGGCCCAGACUCCUACGGGAGGCAGCAGUAGGGAAUCUUCCGCAAUGGACGAAAGUCUGACGGAGCAACGCCGCGUGAGUGAUGAAGGUUUUCGGAUCGUAAAACUCUGUUGUCAGGGAAGAACAAGUGCCGGAGUAACUGCCGGCACCUUGACGGUACCUGACCAGAAAGCCACGGCUAACUACGUGCCAGCAGCCGCGGUAAUACGUAGGUGGCAAGCGUUGUCCGGAAUUAUUGGGCGUAAAGCGCGCGCAGGCGGUUUCUUAAGUCUGAUGUGAAAGCCCCCGGCUCAACCGGGGAGGGUCAUUGGAAACUGGGAAACUUGAGUGCAGAAGAGGAGAGUGGAAUUCCACGUGUAGCGGUGAAAUGCGUAGAGAUGUGGAGGAACACCAGUGGCGAAGGCGACUCUCUGGUCUGUAACUGACGCUGAGGCGCGAAAGCGUGGGGAGCGAACAGGAUUAGAUACCCUGGUAGUCCACGCCGUAAACGAUGAGUGCUAAGUGUUAGAGGGUUUCCGCCCUUUAGUGCUGCAGCUAACGCAUUAAGCACUCCGCCUGGGGAGUACGGUCGCAAGACUGAAACUCAAAGGAAUUGACGGGGG